AACGAACGCUGGCGGCAUGCCUAACACAUGCAAGUCGAACGAGACCUUCGGGUCUAGUGGCGCACGGGUGCGUAACGCGUGGGAACCUGCCCUUAGGUUCGGAAUAACUCCCCGAAAGGGGUGCUAAUACCGGAAUAUGUCUUCGGACCAAAGAUUUAUCGCCUUUGGAUGGGCCCGCGUUGGAUUAGCUAGUUGGUAGGGUAAAAGCCUACCAAGGCGACGAUCCAUAGCUGGUCUGAGAGGAUGAUCAGCCACACUGGGACUGAGACACGGCCCAGACUCCUACGGGAGGCAGCAGUGGGGAAUAUUGGACAAUGGGCGAAAGCCUGAUCCAGCAAUGCCGCGUGAGUGAUGAAGGCCUUAGGGUUGUAAAGCUCUUUUACCCGGGAUGAUAAUGACAGUACCGGGAGAAUAAGCUCCGGCUAACUCCGUG
rnacentral:rRNA from 1 species